GUCAGCGAAGUGCGACCGGAGGGCAAGAUACUACGUCAUCACAGUUUGCCUGCGGUUUCCAUUGUUUCAAAUCGAUCAAAAGCUCGUGUGUGCAGCGGCCACUUCGAAAGUGCCUGUGUGCUGGAGACCAGGGAUUCUCAACGAUGGAGAUGAUACACACCACCACAGGCAAGAUUCGAACUCAUGAUCUUCAACCUACCAAGCUGUCGUCUAUUGGCUUGAGCUAAUCAUCUGGAUAUUUCUAUGCAUUGUAUUUGUGUUUUCCAGGUUUAGUCAGCUGCUGCGGCCUGGACAGAAAAACCAGCUCUCACCUUAAACGUA